rnacentral:lncRNA from 1 species
UUCAAUUUAAUCCAAAUUUUUACACAAAGUCUCUAAAAAAAUUUGGUGUCUAAAAUACUUUUUUCAUAAAUUUUAAAAUCAUUUUUGCAUUUUAGGUUAUUUUUAUUUCAUUUUAUUUUUAAUUUUCAUUUACAAUUUUUUUUAUCAUUUUCAAAUCUUUUUGCAUCCAAUUUUUGAAAUCCAUUCAUGAGUAAUAUUUGAG